rnacentral:lncRNA from 10 species
GUCCUGUACAGAGGGGUCAACGUAUUUGAAGGGACCUCCCACCUGAACAGGACGAUUGAACUUUGCUUUGGUAAGGGAUGACUUGCUGGAAGAUGAAAAGCCUUGUGGUGGAACAUGAGUGGAGCUCUUCACAGCUCCCCAGGCAUUGCUGGUGCAGCACGGGGCAGAGGGUGUGGUACAGCGAUGACACAAGCGACAUCUUGGAAGAGGCAAAACUUGAGACAGGUCUUCAAGGAUUGGUGCCAUCUGGACAGGUUGAAGAGGAGUAGGAGGGCUUUCGGAUGUGGAGAAUGGCAUGCACAAAAGCACGGAGCAACACUUUAUGCCAGUUGGAUUAUGGUCCAUUGGGAGAAAGAUCAAUUAAGGUGAAACCCCAGUAGAGAAAGCACUGGAGAACAACAUUCAUUCUUCCUUAAUAAAUCUUAGUUUUAAAUAUUUGCUUUGAGUUUUGUUCCAUUAAUAAAGAAAAUAAGAAGGAAAACCAACCAAUAUUUUGUUUUUCCAUAUGCCGUAGUGGAAUCCUGAAGUUGUUGAAUUGAAUUAAUGCUUGAUUCAAUGUGAGGAAUGGACAAAAGACAUGCAGAGAUUCAAGUUCCCUCCGUAAUCUGGUAUUUAUUCAUCAAUCCAUCCAUCCAUCUAUCUAUUCAUCCAUCCAUCCACCCACUCACCCACUCAUCCGGCCAUUCACCCACCCACCUAUCCUCUUACCAUUAGGAAAUUCUUUUAUGUUAAGUGCUAUAAGAGCCAAUUCCUCUUUUUCAGUAAAUGGAGAAGAACAAUUUGUAUUAUAAGAAUUAGUGUGGGUUAGAUUAUUUAUAUCAUCUUUCCCUGGUGAGGGUUCAUGUCUAGGUGUUUCAGACUAGCAUUUUUCCUUGGGUAAUUUCCACUUUCCCUUUGUAAGCUGAUACUUUUACUACAUGUAAGGUCAUAAACUGUUGUUUUGUAAAAAAUAUUUUGACAUGGAUGAACAAUUUGGAGUGUAGAUAUGAAGACAUAAAAGAUAACUUGAAAAAAUCAGACUGAUUCUAACAUUUAUGUAGAGAGGUAAAUAAUCAAGAAUAAUUAGUAACAUUCUGAAAAAGAAGGGUAGCAAGAAGUGACUAUCCUAUUAUUAAAUCUUAUAAAAACUCAUUAAGACAGCAUGGUAUUGGCAUAAGAAUAAAAAGACAUCAUUGGAACAGAAUUGAAAGUUUAGAAAUAGACCUAAAUACAUACAAUAGUUUAAUAUAAGGCAAAGUUUACAUCUAAAAUCAGUAAAGAAAGAUUAAUCAGGGAAUGAGGACAACUAAGUCACACAUCACACCCUACAGUAUAAGUUCCAAAUGAAGAAAAUAUUUAAUGUUAAAAAGGAAAUACUGAAAAUACAAACACGUACAAAAAUUAUUUUAUAAUUACAGAGGAGGGAAAGGCCAUAAGUCAUAAAAUGAAAGAUUGAUUAAAAAUAAAGUACUUGCACCUGGUGAAAAACACCAACAUCAAAGUUCAAAGAUAAAUGACAAGCCAGGAAAAAUAUUUGCAAUUCUGUCAAAGUGUGAAUUUCUCUACUCUUAAAGGAGGCAUACAAACUGAUAAGAAAAAGACCAAUAUCAAACAAAUAGCAGAAAAAGAAUAGAAUAGUCAUGUUUAUACAAAGGGAAAUUUACAAAGAAAGAUCAUUUACAUUGCUUUAAAAAAGAGAAAUGCAAAGCAAAGCAUAACUGAGAUACAAUUUCACCUGUCAAAUUGGCAAAGAUUCAAAAGUUUGGUAAUACCUGGUAUUGGCCACAGUAUUGGCACAAACAGGCUUUCAAAUACAAAUAGUGGGGAUGUAAAUGGCAGAAGUUGGCAAACGAUGGCUUGUGAGCUCAAUUCAGCCUGCUGCUUGCUUUUGUACUGCCCAAGACCUAAGAACCAUUUUUAAGUAGUUGAAAAAAAUCAAAAUAAUAUUGUAUCGUAUCGUAUUGUAUUGUAUUUUACUGUACUGUAUUGUAUUGUAUAUUGAACAUUUGCUAAGAAUAGAUUUUAGGUGCUCUUAUUACACACACACACAAGGUAGCUAUGGAAGGUGAUGCAUAGGUUAAUUUGCUUGAACAUGUUAAUCAUUUCACUAUACAUAUGUGUAUGAAAACAAUCAUGUUGUAUACUGUAAGUAUAUAUCAAUAAAAUAAAACAUUUUGUGACACAUGAA